rnacentral:rRNA from 1 species
CAGCACCUCAAGUGGUCAGGAUGAUUAUUGGGCCUAAAGCAUCCGUAGCCGGCGCUGUAAGUUUUCGGUUAAAUCUGUACGCUCAACGUACAGGCUGCCGGGAAUACUGCAGCGCUAGGGAGUGGGAGAGGUAGACGGUACUCAGUAGGAAGGGGUAAAAUCCUUUGAUCUAUUGAUGACCACCUGUGGCGAAGGCGGUCUACCAGAACACGUCCGACGGUGAGGGAUGAAAGCUGGGGGAGCAAACCGGAUUAGAGACCCGAGUAGUCC